rnacentral:rRNA from 1 species
GGUAUAGACCCGAAACCCGGUGAUCUAGCCAUGGGCAGGUUGAAGGUUGGGUAACACUAACUGGAGGACCGAACCGACUAAUGUUGAAAAAUUAGCGGAUGACUUGUGGCUGGGGGUGAAAGGCCAAUCAAACCGGGAGAUAGCUGGUUCUCCCCGAAAGCUAUUUAGGUAGCGCCUCGUGAACUCAUCUUCGGGGGUAGAGCACUGUUUCGGCUAGGGGGUCAUCCCGACUUACCAACCCGAUGCAAACUACGAAUACCGAAGAAUGUUAUCACGGGAGACACACGGCGGGUGCUAACGUCCGUCGUGAAGAGGGAAACAACCCAGACCGCCAGCUAAGGUCCCAAAGUCAUGGUUAAGUGGGAAACGAUGUGGGAAGGCACAGACAGCCAGGAUGUUGGCUUAGAAGCAGCCAUCAUUUAAAGAAAGCGUAAUAGCUCACUGGUCGAGUCGGCCUGCGCGGAAGAUGUAACGGGGCUAAACCAUGCACCGAAGCUGCGGCAGCGACACUAUGUGUUGUUGGGUAGGGGAGCGUUCUGUAAGCCUGCGAAGGUGUGCUGUGAGGCAUGCUGGAGGUAUCAGAAGUGCGAAUGCUGACAUAAGUAACGAUAAAGCGGGUGAAAAGCCCGCUCGCCGGAAGACCAAGGGUUCCUGUCCAACGU